AUUGAUUUUAUGCUUGCAUAAAUGAUUUUUUGGAUCCGGAGCGAGUGGCGAACUGGUGAGUAACACGUGGGUAACCUGCCCCGAAGCGGGGGAUAACAUUUGGAAACAAGUGCUAAUACCGCAUAAUUAGUUGGAACCGCAUGGUUCCAACUUGAAAGAUGGCUCUGCUAUCACUUUGGGAUGGACCCGCGCCGUAUUAGUUAGUUGGUGAGAUAAAAGCCCACCAAGACGAUGAUACGUAGCCGACCUGAGAGGGUAAUCGGCCACAUUGGGACUGAGACACGGCCCAGACUCCUACGGGAGGCAGCAGUAGGGAAUCUUCCACAAUGGACGAAAGUCUGAUGGAGCAACGCCGCGUGAGUGAUGAAGGUUUUCGGAUCGUAAAACUCUGUUGUUAAAGAAGAACAAGUGUUAGAGUAACUGUUAACACUUUGACGGUAUUUAACCAGAAAGCCACGGCUAACUACGUGCCAGCAGCCGCGGUAAUACGUAGGUGGCAAGCGUUGUCCGGAUUUAUUGGGCGUAAAGCGAGCGCAGGCGGUUUUGUAAGUCUGCUGUGAAAGCCCUCAGCUCAACUGAGGAAGUGCAGUGGAAACUACAAAACUUGAGUACAGAAGAGGAAAGUGGAACUCCAUGUGUAGCGGUGAAAUGCGUAGAUAUAUGGAAGAACACCAGUGGCGAAGGCGGCUUUCUGGUCUGUUACUGACGCUGAGGCUCGAAAGCAUGGGUAGCGAACAGGAUUAGAUACCCUGGUAGUCCAUGCCGUAAACGAUGAAUACUAGGUGUUGGAGGGUUUCCGCCCUUCAGUGCCGCAGCUAACGCAUUAAGUAUUCCGCCUGGGGAGUACGACCGCAAGGUUGAAACUCAAAGGAAUUGACGGGGGCCCGCACAAGUGGUGGAGCAUGUGGUUUAAUUCGAUGCUACGCGAAGAACCUUACCAGCUCUUGACAUCUUCUGCCAACCCAAGAGAUUGGGCGUUCCCUUCGGGGACAGAAUGACAGGUGGUGCAUGGUUGUCGUCAGCUCGUGUCGUGAGAUGUUGGGUUAAGUCCCGCAACGGGCGCAACCCUUAUUAUUAGUUGCCAGCAUUUAGUUGGGCACUCUAGUGAGACUGCCGGUGAUAAA
rnacentral:rRNA from 1 species